UACAAAUACAAAUUCUUGUGACUUUCUCUUUUAGACACCUAGCAGGAUGAAACAACUGGAAACAAUGGCACUCAGUAAGGAAACCUUUUCCAUCAAGAAGCCUUGGAGCAGUUUUGUGCGAAAACUGGUUUUGAUUUGGGUUCUCUGUAACAGACAGUCUAUCCAUCAAAACAAUAUUGAAAACUUAAAAGGCGAAGUGGGAGCGGAAAUCCUGGACACAGAAUGCAAAAGUG
rnacentral:lncRNA from 12 species